AUACCUACAUGAUACAAACCAUCUUCAAUUAUACAGCUCAAUUCAUUUAGCUUUGACACAACAUCCUAUUGUUAUAACACUUCAUACAAUAUUAACAAAACUGUGCAAAAUAAUUGAGACCAAAACCCUAAUUCUCAAUGCCGAAGUCCCAAAAUUGAAAGUCAAAAGCCAUCAGACAAUAACACUUGAAACAUUAGAACAAUGUACAAUUAAGGAACAUAAACAAUUCAGGACACCACAAGUUUCCAGCCGUCGAGUCAAGCAAAAGAUGCUGAUCUGUUCAAUAAAUCCUGAUUUAUCUUUGACGUUGGAAUCGCAUUGUAAGGAGACACAUUAAUCAGUUGAAUGCUACCUGAUUUGUAUCACCGUAUGCUCGCAUCUUAGUCAAUCAUUUUUAUUUGAUGAUUAGCCCAUAAUUCAGAAAAGUCUUUGACAACCAUAUCAAGCUUUAUCACACAUUCUUAUAUAUAAAAAAAAAUCUCAAGAUGAACUGCAAAAGAAAUAUUUACUCCAGAUUCAAAAUGCCGUCGUUUAUGUCAAAAACAAACUGUAAACAUUUUGAAGACACCAUCAGCUCAAUUUCCUCCUAAUUGAGAUAUUAAAAGACAAAGGUUAGGUAUAUACAAAGACCAAUGCAGUUGCUUGUGAAAUUGCACCAGCAAACUCUAUCUAUAUAUGAUAGAAAUUAAAUCAAGCUUUGAUUUGGUAGGAUAAUGGGGCGGCCAUGUGGGGGAUUACAUAUGGAAAUUGGGUUAACUAUUUUCUGCAGGACUCAACAUUGCAAAUUCAGCAGGAGUACACUCUGAUUUAGGCCCUGUUUGGGGUAGGGAGACUAAAAAAAUGCUUUUAGAAAAACACCAUUGAGAUGCUGUUGAAAAAGUCGAUUAGUUGUUUUGAAGUUCUUAUGACUAAAAUAUGUCAAAUUU
rnacentral:misc_RNA from 1 species